UGCCAGUAGUCAUAUGCUUGUCUCAAAGAUUAAGCCAUGCAUGUCUAAGUAUAAGCUUGUUUUAUACGGCGAGACUGCGGAUGGCUCAUUAAAUCAGUUAUAGUUUAUUUGAUGGUCUCUUGACACGGCGCAAGCCGUAUCAUUUACUUGGAUAACUGUGGUAAUUCUAGAGCUAAUACAUGCGUAAAAUCUCGAGCGCGGGGGGUGGUCUUGGGGUGCAGGUGGCAACACUUGUGCUCCGUUCGGGCCAUCUUUGCAUGCGCGAAGGGAUGUAUUUAUUAGACACACAAACCAGCAUUCUUUUUACUGGUGAUUCAUAGUAACUCUUUCGGAUCGCAUUUAUAUCUUGCCUUGUGGAGAUGGCGACGAUUUCAUUCAAAUUUCUGCCCUAUCAACCUUCGAUGGUAGGAUAGAGGCCUACCAUGGUCGUAACGGGUAACGGAGAAUUAGGGUUCGAUUCCGGAGAGGGAGCCUGAGAAAUGGCUACCACUUCUAAGGAAGGCAGCAGGCGCGCAAAUUACCCAAUCCCGACACGGGGAGGUAGUGACAAUAAAUAACAAUACAUGCGCUCAACAAGAGUCGUGUAAUUGGAAUGAGUACAAUUUAAACCCCUUAACGAGUAACAAUUGGAGGGCAAGUCUGGUGCCAGCAGCCGCGGUAAUUCCAGCUCCAAUAGCGUAUAUUAAAGUUGUUGCAGUUAAAAAGCUCGUAGUUGGAUUUUGGGACGUGCAUUCACAUUCAUAAAGGUGUAAAAGCCUGUGGAAGCGUCUUACUGCUCUAUUGGCACUAGGUCACCUUCACGGGUGGUUUGGUGUCUCAAGGUAGUUUGGCGUUGCGGGCUCGGUCCAUCAGUGUGCCUCGCAAGGGGCCUCCAUUGGUGUGUUAACCGGCCCGCCCGUCCCCUCCUUCUGGAUUCCCGUUCCUGCUAUUGAUUUAGUGGGAACGUCACAGGGGGCUAGUCGUGUAAAAAGCGGCUGGUCUCUGGGGCCCAGAUCGUUUACCGUGAAAAAAUUAGAGUGUUCAAAGCGGGCAGAUAUUUUUCCUGCCACCGAAUACAUUAGCAUGGGAUAAUGGAAUAGGACCCUGACCUCCUAUUUUCAGUUGGUUUUGUUUACAGCGAGGUUAUAUCAGGGUAAUGAUUAAUAGGGAUAGUUGGGGGCAUUAAUAUUUAAUUGUCAGAGGUGAAAUUCUUGGAUUUAUGAAAGAUUAACUUCUGCGAAAGCGUUUGCCAAGGAUGUUUUCAUUAAUCAAGAACGAAAGUUAGGGGAUCGAAGACAAUC
rnacentral:rRNA from 1 species